GACAAACGCUGGCGGCAUGCCUAACACAUGCAAGUCGAACGGACAGAACAGGGAAGCUUUUCGGAGUGGAACUGGAAAGUUAGUGGCGGAUGGGUGAGUAACGCGUGGACAACCUACCUUGUAAAGGGGAAUAGCCUCGAGAAAUCGAAGCUAAUACCCCAUAAUAACCUUGCUUCGCAUGAAGUAAGGAGGAAAGGCGGCCUUAGCGCUGUCGAUACAAGAUGGGUCCGCGUCUGAUUAGCUAGUUGGUGAGGUAAAGGCUCACCAAGGCGACGAUCAGUAGCCGGCCUGAGAGGGUGAACGGCCACAUUGGGACUGAGACACGGCCCAAACUCCUACGGGAGGCAGCAGUGGGGAAUCUUCCGCAAUGGGCGAAAGCCUGACGGAGCAAUGCCGCGUGAGUGAAGAAGGCCUUCGGGUUGUAAAACUCUGUCCUUAUCGAAGAGAGAGUGUUGUAGUAACUGACAAUACUAGGACGGUAGAUGAGGAGGAAGCCCCGGCUAACUAUGUG
rnacentral:rRNA from 1 species